rnacentral:rRNA from 1 species
GGAGAAAGCAGGGGACCUUCGGGCCUUGCGCUAUCAGAUGAGCCUAGGUGGGAUUAGCUAGUUGGUGAGGUAAUGGCUGACCAAGGGCGACGAUCCGUAACUGGUCUGAGAGGGAUGAUCGGUCACACUGUAAGGGAGACGCGGUCCAGACGCCUACGGGAGGCAGCAGUGGGGAAUAUUGGACAAUGGGCGAAAGCCUG